rnacentral:lncRNA from 1 species
CCCAGAUUGGAGGAAACUGGAGGUGGGGAUGGACUUAGGGUUGCCCAAUCUGCAGUGGCCUCAGGUUGGAGCACCUGUGGGGUUUUUCCCUGGGUGGAAGAUGUGGCAUCUCUGCAGAGCCUGGAAAUUCACCCAUGUUGCAGGGGCCGUGGCAUUCCCACCUCAGCCUGAAGUGACGGCAGCCUCUCCUCAGCACGGCUGCCCCAUCCCAGCCUGGCAGGAGGGUUUUGCCUCCUGUUUGGGCAGGGUGUGUUAUCUGCCAAAAAGGAAGUUCAAAGCACUGAAGGCACAACCCCUCUCACCUCAGUGA